GACGAACGCUGGCGGCGUGCUUAACACAUGCAAGUCGAACGGAAAGGCCCUGCUUUUGUGGGGUGCUCGAGUGGCGAACGGGUGAGUAACACGUGAGUAACCUGCCCUUGACUUUGGGAUAACUUCAGGAAACUGGGGCUAAUACCGGAUAGGAGCUCCUGCUGCAUGGUGGGGGUUGGAAAGUUUCGGCGGUUGGGGAUGGACUCGCGGCUUAUCAGCUUGUUGGUGGGGUAGUGGCUUACCAAGGCUUUGACGGGUAGCCCGCCUGCGAGGUUGACCGGGCACCAUGGGCCUGCGGGACGCAGCAGUAGGGUAUCGGCGGCAGCGGGGGGGAACCUUGCGGAGCGGGCGCAAGUGAGUGGCGGAAGUCUUGCGAGCGGGAUAACCGGUUUCUGGGGAUAAACAGCUUUGGCAGGUGACGAGGCGUGAUUGACGGUAACGGGUCAGGAAGCACCGGCUAACUACGUG
rnacentral:rRNA from 1 species